UCUAAAACAUAAAGCAAGAAGAGUAAGCAAACAUAAUUUUCGCAGAGAGUCAGUGGUUGGUGUGAACUGAUAAAGUUAUUUUGCCGAAGUGGUCCUUGCGCGUGCGGCUUUGAACAAAAAAGUAGGAGCUGCCGGGUUCUCCCGUUAUUGAGAUAGAGUAUGUGAUUCGUACUCGAAUGAGAUGGAACUUUUUAUGGUUCCAAUAUGAGGUGGUACCGCGGUAUUUGAUUAUUCGCCCUCUAA
rnacentral:ncRNA from 1 species